rnacentral:rRNA from 1 species
UGAGGAAUAUUGGUCAAUGGGCGUAAGCCUGAACCAGCCAAGUAGCGUGAGGGAAGACUGCCCUAUGGGUUGUAAACCUCUUUUGUGCGGGGAUAAAGUGAGGGACGUGUCCCUUAUUGCAGGUACCGCACGAAUAAGGACCGGCUAAUUCCGUGCCAGCAGCCGCGGUAAUACGGAAGGUCCGGGCGUUAUCCGGAUUUAUUGGGUUUAAAGGGAGCGCAGGCCGUCCUUUAAGCGUGCUGUGAAAUGCCGCGGCUCAACCGUGGCACUGCAGCGCGAACUGGAGGACUUGAGUACGCACGAGGUAGGCGGAAUUCGUGGUGUAGCGGUGAAAUGCUUAGAUAUCACGAAGAACUCCGAUUGCGAAGGCAGCUUACCGGAGCGCAACUGACGCUGAGGCUCGAAAGCGCGGGUAUCGAACAGGAUUAGAUACCCUGGUAGUCCGCGCGGUAAACGAUGGAUGCCCCGCCGUUGGGAUUUGGAUUUCAGCGGCCAAGCGAAAGCGUUAAGCAUCCCACCUGGGGAGUACGCCGGCAACGGUGAAACUCAAAGGAAUUGACGGGGGCCCGCACAAGCGGAGGAACAUGUGGUUUAAUUCGAUGAUACGCGAGGAACCUUACCCGGGCUUGAAUUGCAGGAGAACGAUCCAGAGAUGGUGAGGCCCUUCGGGGCUCCUGUGAAGGUGCUGCAUGGUUGUCGUCAGCUCGUGCCGUGAGGUGUCGGCUCAAGUGCCAUAACGAGCGCAACCCCUGUCCAUAGUUGCCAUCAGGUCGUGCUGGGCACUCUGUGGAGACUGCCGCCGUAAGGUGUGAGGAAGGUGGGGAUGACGUCAAAUCAGCACGGCCCUUACGUCCGGGGCUACACACGUGUUACAAUGGGGCAUACAGCGAGUUGGAUGUGCGCAAGUACGUCCGGAUCAAUAAAGUGCCUCUCAGUUCGGACUGGGGUCUGCAACCCGACCCCACGAAGCUGGAUUCGCUAGUAAUCGCGCAUCAGCCAUGGCGCGGUGAAUACGUUCCC